rnacentral:rRNA from 1 species
UACAGAGGUCCCGAGCGUUGUUCGGAUUCAUUGGGCGUAAAGGGUGCGUAGGUGGCGCCGUAAGUGGGGUGUGAAAUCCCGGGGCUUAACCCCGGGACUGCAUUCCAUACUGCGGUGCUUGAGGACUGGAGAGGAGACUGGAAUUUACGGUGUAGCAGUGAAAUGCGUAGAGAUCGUAAGGAAGACCAGUGGCGAAGGCGGGUCUCGUGGACAGUUCCUGACACUGAGGCACGAAGGCCAGGGGAGCAAACGGG